CCCUCGUCUCCUCUCCGUUCCCGCUCUCUUCGCCUUGCGCCCACACCCCAGUGCUCCUUCCCCCACCUCUCCUUCCCCUCGCCCUCCUCGUCUCCUCAAAGCCCACAGCUCCCCGCAUCCUCCGUUUGUCCCAGGACCGGCCUCUCUUUCCCCUCCUGCCUUCUCUCUGACUUGUGGGUUUGGUUUGCACCGACGUCCGCAGGCUGUCCUGAGGCCAGCAGAAAACACAGGCAAAGUCCAGUUUGUCUUUUGACUCCUGGUCCUUUGAUGUUGGGUACCACACUCACUCAUCCCAGGUGACUGGGGAAUGGGGGUUUCCUCUGCUGAAUGGUUUCAAGCCAUCUCAUUCUUCAUCUCAACUUCAAUGUCAUCACCAAAAGGCCUUCUCUGACAACCACCGAAUCUGACUUGGCAUUGCGUACUACAAAAAUAGAGAUAAUGUGCCUGUGGAAUCGCUGGUGCCCCAAAGAGGACACAUGACAGGUCCAGUGAAACCAUGUUUUAUGUGCUAUACAAAUAUUUGAGUGCUUCCUAUGUGCCAGUUACUUUUUUAGUCACUGGGAUGCAACGAUAGCCAAGGUAAACAAAAUCUUUGCUCUCGUGGAGCUUAUUCAAGUGUGUGUGUGUGUGUGUGUGUGUGCAUUUCUGUGCAAGACAUAAUAUGCAGAUAAAUGAAUAAAAUAGAUAUUAUUUGAAUUGCUGGUAAGCACUAUGAAGAAAAAUAGAUCAGGAAUGGGUAUCAGGAAUGUGAGGGGUUGGGGAGAGGCAGGGAAAAAUGCCAUUUUCAUCAGGGUCAUUUGAGAAAGCCUUCAAGAAGGUGACAUUUGAACAAAGAGCUGAAGGAAGUGAGGGGGCGAGCCACACGUGUCUGAGGAAACGUCUACUGAACCUCUUUAUGAUGAUUUAGAAGGCACAUCUGAAUCUUCCCUGCAGGCUACCAGAGUUAUAAUAAUGAACAUUAAUCAAUGCUAUUUGGUAUAAUGGAGGAAAAGACAGUAUUUUAAUUGCUUGGAUUCCAGAUGAUCAGAAGUUAUGUCAAUGGUCAUGCCGGCUCAAUGUUAUUAAAAAUACUAAUUUGGGGCUUCCCUGGUGGCACAGCGGUUAGGAAUCUGCCUGCCAAGGCAGAGGACACGGGUUCGAGCCCUGGUCCGGGAAGAUUCCAUGUGUCGCGGAGCAACUAGGCCCGUGGGCCACAACUACUAAGCCUGUGCUCUACAGCCUGCAAGCCACAGCUACUGAGCCCGUGUGCCACGAUUACUGAGGCCCGCGUGCCUGGAGCCGGUGCUCCACAGCAAGGGAGGCCACUGCAGUGAGAAGCCCACGCACCGCAGCGAAGAGUGGCUCCCACUCGCUGCAGCUAGAGAAAGCCCACGUGCAGCAAAGACCCAA